rnacentral:lncRNA from 10 species
CUGCCGCCGCCACCGCCUCAGGGAAGAGGAAGGAGGCCGCGGCUUCGCGUCCCGCCUCUCGCCUGGCUGGCCGUGGGGGGCCUGGACGCAGUGGCCUCCCGAAUCUCCCAGGACCCUAAUAUCGCCCGAGGAUGCUGGGAGGAACGCUGAGCCGACCUCUCCGUUAGGCUGAAGAUUGCACAAACCAUGCUAAUGGCCAGCAUGGAUGGAGGGAGCGUGUGAGAUGUGUGGGGCAGCGUGCUGCAUCUCAGCCAACUCCAGGAGGAAGCAUGCUCAUGGCAAUACCCGGAGUCUCCACUGCAAGACCAGAGUGACGGAGGCAGCAGAGCUCCUCAGCAGGCCAGGAGUCUCCAGAGGCACUGCCGAAUGUCUAAGAAGCAACCUCAUUGUAUUCCCAAGACCUGGGAAUCCAGGUCUCGCAGAUACGAUGAUACAAUCUAUAGCCAGGACAUCUCUUCAUGUGUAGGAUAAGCAACUAUCCCAGUCUUCCCAGGAUUGAGGGGCUUCUCCAGAUGCUGCACUUCUGGUGCUAAAAAUGAGAAACUGAAAUGAAUUAGUCACCCAAGGAAUGCUGACCCUGUGCUAUAUGAUCACAUUUACUCUUUAAAGCAAUGCUUUGAGAACAAUUGAGCUGCAUAGUCCCUGCAAUCUUAUAAAGGCAUUUGGCCUGGAAGAUGCUCUGCAGCCAUGUGCCAAGAAUAACGGCUAUAGGGACAAUGUUUCAUUAACCCCAAAGCAGCAACCUGAACCUCUUACUGUACAAUAUCUGCUCCGUUCAGAAUUAGCUCGACUUGAGUCACAGGAUGAAGCUUACCAAAAGGAAUUUCCACGUCCAAGGAAGGAACCAAGAUCACUGAGAGGUUAUAGUAUGAAAAGUGAAGAGAAAAAACCUAUUCUAAACAUUUUAUUAAUUGUCAAUAAUUAUUUUAAAAUAUUUAAUAUAGUCUCCUACCUGGUCCACUGGCAUCAAGCUGCCAAAUUUACACGGUCACUUUGGGAAGCCAGCUGGCAGGCAAACAUGGAAAGUGCUGGCUCCUAGCGUAGUGAGAAGACCACAGAUAGAUGGUAAUUUUCUUCUUUGUUUUAUUUUUCUUUUUCUUCUCUCCCUCUUUUUCUUCCCUCUUGCCUUUCCCUCCCAUUGCCCACUUUCUUUUUUUGGCUGCCGAAGAUUUAUUGCCUUUCAGUACUUAUAGAUGAUGUUUUCAUAAGUUCUAAUGAGGUCCCAGCAGUUUUUAACAAUAACAGGACAUUACUGUUCCUAAGAUAUAUUAUGUGUUUUCCCUCAUCUUUCUCCCUUGAAUGAAAUGCUUAGAAGUAGGCUAACCCCCAAUUCCCUUCCCUUUACUAUGAUAAAUGGCUCCAUUACUUAAUAGGGCUAAAUACUCUGCUGUGACUUUUAUACUGCUGAUUUGAAUAAAAUCUUACGAAAAGCUUUUCUCGUGU